GGGUGCGAUCAUACCAGCGUUAAUGCACCGGAUCCCAUCAGAACUCCGCAGUUAAGCGCGCUUGGGCUGGAGUAGUACUGGGAUAGGUGACCUCCCGGGAAGUCCUAGUGUUGCACCCAGUUGCACCCUG
rnacentral:rRNA from 1 species